UCCUCCCGAGAACGUUCGAGCUCCCGGUUUUUCGCCAUCGUAUCCGUUGCACGUUAUCCAAAGUGGGAACUGUGGUCCGAUUUCGAUAAUUUUCUUAUUUUCUCCUUACCGCGUGUGUGGGAUAUGGAUUUUGAAAAUUAUAUAUCUAAUACUAUAAUUUGAGUUUGUAUGCGACAUAUUUUUAAAACUCAUUUUUUCGUGUGGUAGUUUUUGGUUACAUAAUUAAAAUUCAAAGUCCAUUGCGUCCUGUAGGAACUUUCUAACAAAAAAAAGCAGACGUCUCUACGAGACAGGAGCGUUAACCCUGUAAAAUAUGUUGUCGAAAAACCGUUUG